AAAAUUAUUGUAAUGGUGGCCCAGUUCAGAUCAGAUCCAUUUGCAAGAAGGCCCAGUUCAAUACAAACAAAAUAAAUUAAUUACCUUUCUCUCAUAUCAGACCAGCUGUACUUCAUUUGGGCAACAAAUUUCUCUCUCUAGCGAUGCGAACAGAAACAAAACCUCAACCCGUGAAAAUGCUUCGCACAACAAACAAAACCCAAAAUCCCUCCUCUGCACAUAUCAGACAAUGAAAGCAACAUCACCUUCAUCCUCCAAUCUCCUUCAGCUGUACUUCAUUGGCUAGAUAUUUGUUACCCCUGUAAAUGUCCCAAUAAAUUCAGAUUCAAGUUGCUUAUGCAGUUUUGGCUACGUAAGAAAUUCUUAUAAUAAUAACUAUAAUAUGUUUCAAGUACCAGUUUUAAUCCUUUUUAAUUACUAUUCUUUUUAAUUGAGGGUAUGAGGCUAAUUAAGGUAUCAAUAUGAUAUCAUUGAACCUUUACUUUACAUUUACCAUGACAUCUUUAUGGUUCUUCAAGUUUUGAAUUAACAUUGAUUCUUCAAGUAGAAAUGUGAUGAANNAAUACACUAUUGUUGAAGUUAGGAAGAUGGUACCUUUAAAGCUAAAUUUUGGCCUUACAUUUUCAAGCGUCUAACUGAAUUUGAAUUUACAUAUUGGAUCUUUGUAUUUCUUUUUUCAGGUACUGCAUAAGCAAUGCUUCAUAUUGUCAUUAUUGCAAUGCUCUGAGUGAAGAAGAAUCAUAACAAUUCAAAUUCUGUUAGUGGAUCAUCUAGAAGCAAGAGUGGAUGAUUGAACUCUUUAGAUUAUACCAUUUCAUUGUUCUCAAUUAGUUGGUUUAUAGGGGCUAUAGCUUUUAAAAUAUUAACACUUAUAUGAUAUUGAUGAAUAAAAUUUAUAUGGUAUCUCUGAAAAUACACACGAGAGGCUGUAUAAGUUUAUGUAGAGUUUGACAUUAAUAUAUUCUAUUCGCUAUUUUCCCGUGCAAAGAAUGCAUAUUUUUUUGAAUUGUGUAAUAUUAAAUCAAAUUUUACGGAUAAUUAAAUCAUACCAGUCCAUCAAGUUGUUUAUUGAAAACCAGAUUUUUUACCUAUAACAUUUUGACAUGAUUUGUUUUCAUAAUAUAUAAUUAUCCAUUUAAUUUGAUCACAAAUUUAUAUAAAAUUUGAAAAUUAAAAAUUAUGUACAAAAUUACUAAAAUUUGGUGCUUCUUGUGCGUUAACACAGGUACUCAGACUAGCUAAAAAUACCUACACCAAAAAAGAAUGUUAUUUUUUUUAUCAAUAAAAAAAAAAGAAUGUUAUUAAAAGUCGGUACUUCCAAGUUCAACUAUCAAUGUUGUUUUUCCGGAUGUAUGAUUAUGCAUUAUAUUUUGGUUUUACAUAGAAAUAAUGCAUAUCUUUUUGAAUUGUGUAAUAUUAAGGCAAAUUUCACGGAUACUAAAAUCUUAAUUGGCCGACGAGUUCUAUAUUGAAUAUAUAUUUAUUUACUAUAACAUUUUGACAAUACGUAUAUUUACCGUACGAAAUUACUACAAGACGGUGUUUCCCGUGCGUUAGCACGGGCACUGGAACUAGU
rnacentral:lncRNA from 1 species